rnacentral:rRNA from 1 species
UACGUAGGGUGCAAGCGUUGUCCGGAAUUAUUGGGCGUAAAGAGCUCGUAGGCGGUCUGUCGCGUCUGCUGUGAAAACUCAGGGCUUAACCCUGAGCUUGCAGUGGGUACGGGCAGACUAGAGUGCGGUAGGGGAGACUGGAAUUCCUGGUGUAGCGGUGAAAUGCGCAGAUAUCUGGAGGAAUACCGGUGGCGAAGGCGGCAUCCUGGACCAUUACUGACGCUGAGGCGCGAAAGCUAGGGGAGCAAACGGG